rnacentral:rRNA from 1 species
AAGGUAGCAUAAUCAAUAGUCUUUUAAUUGGAGGCUUGGAUGAAAGGUUUGACGGAGGAAGAGCUGUCUCUUUGAUUAUAUUGAACUUAACAUUUGUGUGAAAAGGCAUUAAUGGUUUAGAGGGACGAUAAGACCCUAUAAAACUUAACAUAUGUGAUGCUAGUCUUUGGAACUGUUUUGUAAUUAUAGAGUGGCUGGGUGUGUUUUGCUGGGGCGGCAUGAAUAUAAUUUGUAACUGUUUUAGAAAAAGAAAUAUUGAUUGGUAGAUUGUGGUCUUGUCAUUGGAGAGUUAAGAGUAAGUUACUUUAGGGAUAACAGCGUGAUUUUUCUUGAGAGUUCUUAUC